CAAACGACACUUUCGCAAGAUUGUGUUAGUGGCAGCGAGUUAGUAACACGUAGGAACCUCCCCCCAAGUCAGGAAUAACGAGUCGAAAGAUUCGCUAAUACCUGAUAGUCUCUCUGGAGUAAAGUCGUAAGACGCUUGGGAAAGGGCCUGCGGGCUAUCAGCUAGUUGGUAGGGUAAUGGCCUACCAAGGCGAUGACGGCUAGGGGAGCUGAGAGGCUGAUCCCCAACGAUGGGACUGAGACACGGCCCAUACACCUACGGGUGGCUGCAGUCAAGAACCUUCCGCAAUGGACGAAAGUCUGACGGAGCGACGCCGCGUGAUGGAUGAAGUUCCUCUGGAACGUAAACAUCUUUUGUCGAGGAGAAAGUAAUUGAUAGAUCGAAGAUAAGGGGUGUAAA
rnacentral:rRNA from 1 species